rnacentral:lncRNA from 1 species
AUAAGAGAAAAAGGGAUAUGGGAUCUUGGGUUUUUAUAUGCUGUUGUUUGGCCUUUGAAAGUUGGGAGCUUUAUGAAAUGUUUAAUUAGUUUCGGUGUCGUGAAUUAAAAUUUGAGUAUCAAAGUUUGUUUAGUUAUUGCCUUUGGAUAUCCUUUUGGUGAGAAGUUUGAGGCUUGAUGCAUCUCGUUUGAUUUGUUUGUGAAAAGUUUUUUCUUUUGGCUCUGCUUACUGAUAAGAAAUUGAAGUUAUUUGUAGAAGAAAUCUAAGAUAUUAAUCGAGUUGCUAUGUUAGGACCGUAUAAAAUUUUUUUAAGUUGAGUUAUUCCACCAUGAUGAAUGACUGUGAUUCAGAGUCAAAGAAGAUAAGUUUUGAGCAAAUUGACUGGAGAUGCUGUGAUGUUUCCUGGAGUUGCGAUAGCCCUGCAAAGCUUAAAUGCAGUUGGGCUGCCGAAGCCCUCUUCUGGACCAAAAGUCAAAAGAGAAAAUUUUUGAGUGAAGAGAUAAAUGUAGUAAUUAGGUCACAAUAUCAGGCCAUUGUCAUUUAUGUGUGAUUUAUGCUGGCUGGCUAAGAUGAGCAUACCGAGCGGUGAUAAUGCUUGUUAGGAAACAAGCCAGCCCCAUGUCAUUCUCCAGCGUCCUCAUCCAACCAACACAAGAGACAAAACUCGGAAGUAAUAACGAAUCAAAAACCAAGAAUGUGCUUUGGUCCACAGACCAGAAAUUGGAAGAUCUUGGAAAAAUGACAAUAGGAAAUAUUUGUAUUUUUUUUUUUAAUGCGGAUGUCCUAUUUUUUUCCUUCUUAGACACGUUAUUAAGGAUAAAAGAUAUAAAGUUUGUAUAUAGUGGGCCUGAUUAUGGUCUUUAGUAAAAACUCUAUAAUAUAUAAAAUAAAAAAAUAAUUCAAAUUAAAAAAAAAAUCAAAAUCAAAACAGGCUUGAGGCUACCGUAUCCCUAGCCAUAAAUUAAACAAGUGAAACAAAUGUACAACAACACAAGACACCAACUGCCUACCGCAUAGCCAACAGCCGCACCCUCUCAGCCUCAUAGCCGUUAUCGCCAGCGAUCGUCAUGAGCCCAGCAUGUGAGUCAGAAAAUCACAGCAGUAGGCAGUAGGUAGCCACACAAAUCGCAAGCCCAGCACUCAACACAGUAGCAAACCUAGCACUAGUAGCGCAGCAGCAAUGAACCCAUGUGAUCUUUGAGAAUAAGCCACGCAGGUCGUGAGCCCAACGCGCAACACAAUAGCAAAUUUUGAUGUAGAAAUCUGGUCGUAUAUGUUGAGAUGAUCAGUUUAUCUCGUCAACAUUUAAAUUUGUUUUGAUGGGGAAUAAACUUGUCCUCGAGCACUCAAACAAGCAGAUUCCAAUAAUCAUUAAUUUCUGGUUUCGAUUAUUUCAUUUCUUGUAAAAAAAAAUAAUUUCUAUAUUAAUUUUGAAUAUAUAUUAUAAAGUUACAAUUCUUCUUUUGCUUGUUUAUUUAUUUAUUAGUAUUUGUAGUUUAUUAUAUUGUGUUGCUAAUAUUUUGUGUGUUGGAUAAUCAUAUAUUGGAUAAUCAUCUAUAAUUUAAGUUUUUUUUUUAGUUUAUAACUUUAUUACAAAUUUAUUUAAAAUUUGAUAAGAGCUCAAGACUGGAUGAGCUUUCAAAACACUUUAGGCAUGGGCUUGAAAAAGUUCGGCUGAAACUCAUAAAUUACCAACCCUACAAUAGAUUAGAUUUUUAGAUUGGAUACCUAAAAAUUUAAGUCAAAUCCUCUCAACUAAAUUAUUAAGCGCAACGCAUGACGAGCAAAUUCUUGUAAUUAGUUGAAGCCCUAUCUACGAAAGUAGUACUUCAUAAAAGUAGUUCAUGAUAAACUCACAACUUGUGUUUUAGCAUGGAUGAAGACCUAGUCAUUCGUUUUGCUUCAACUUCAAGGUUUUUCGUUCCGGCACAUGUUUUGUGUAUAACAAAAAAACGCAUCACCUGAAAGUCGUAACGCUAGAGUUUAUGCAUGACAAACAACAAAUUGUUGUCAACAAUCCCAAAUAUUAAAAAUCUACGUGCGCUAACUUAAUUUUAGCAUAAUUGGCUCCAUCCGUAUAUAAUGUUUUUUUUUUUUUUGAAUACUGUUUAUACAGGACUGUAGGUAUUACAAUUAAUAUUUACACACAGAUUCUACAAUUGGGACCUUCAUCGUGGCAUGUACUCCUCUGAAGCGCUGCCCAAAUUCUUCAAACCCUCUCAAAUAUUCGAGGGCUGUCCACUCUACUCACAUUUCGUGAGGAAUAGACUGGCUCCACUCAAUUAUGUGAUAAUUGAGGAAAGAUUGUAAAUAAGCCCCAUAAAUGCUUUUAUGGAGACUCGAACCCUUGCACUCAUUAUUCUAAGUGCAAGGGCUCUCCCACUGGACCAAAGGCCCAUUGGUCAUCCGUAUAUAAUGUUUAAAUAAGAGAAGAUAGCUUGAAAAAAAAUAAAAAAAAAAUCCACCAACAUUGCAUUGUAUCCAGCCCUUUAUGUGUUUACCUAUAAUUGUAUUUACAUGUAGAAGGAUACUAAAAAUUUUAUUUUUUAUUUUUUUUCCUUCAUAUAACAUACAAGUGUCUUGUUUGUUAGGUAUAAACAUUAAAUUUUAAUUUCUAAGUAAUUUGUACGAGCUCUUGCAUGCAUGCUCGACCGUUCAAUCUAACUUGGGAUGUCAUUAGAUUAUUGAGGCACUAUAUGCAAUUUUAUUAUUUUAAACUAACCAAGACAAUUAAAAGAUUAAAGGAAACAAAAUCACAUAAUAUCUUAGUUCAUUAAAAGGUUCGGAUCUUUUGAAAGCUGUUUGUUACAAAUCAAAAGUCGAAUCUAACUAUCUAAGGGAGGCAUGAUUGAAGUCUGGCAAUCUAAUCAAGCAGCUCAAAAUCGUCAUCAAUGAUCUCACAAUAUAUAUGUAUAUAUAUUAUGUAUGUGAUAAAAUGACACAUGUAUAUGAAAUUAUUUUUAACUGUUAUUUCAUUGUCAAUAGUCAAACAUUUUGCACUCCAAGUUAAGUUUUGUCUCCACCAAAUCCGUAAGAGAUAGCAUCAUUGAAAUAUGAACAAAUAGGUUGGGUCUGUGCUUGCUGCCCGUGCUGUGCUGUGAUACAUCAUUUGUAUUAUUUGUUGGAGCCGUUGCCAUAAACAAAUUUAAGAAGGGGAUAAAUACAUUCAAGUCUUUUUAUUUUUUAUUUUUUUAAAAUAAGGAUAUAAUUUCCCAUUCGUACUCCUUGUCUCCAAUUGAAAUUAUCGAUUAUUCUUAUGUUUCUCGCAUAAUUUUGAUGGGGAGUGUGUACCUUAACACGAAGGUUAUUCAAACUAUUUCAAUAGAGUCAGGGACCCAUUUGCUUAAAUUAUAUAAUUAGAUAUCUAUUAAAAAUCUUAUCCCUUUGAUUGAUUGUGUUUCGACAUUUAGGACUAGGACGCGAUUAAUUAGAUAUCUAUUACAUUUAUCCCUUUGAUUAAUAUUA